GACUGACACAGGCAGCACCCUUUUGCAGAAGUAGAUGUGCGUUGCUGAGAAAUUUUCUGCCUAAGUUCUGGUUUUCUUUGCAGCACCCAGCAUUUGUUUCUAACACAGGGAAAGAGUGAGCUGGAGAAACCUCUCAAAUUCAAGAAAGCGUAAAGCAAAUUGAACAAUACGGGUGAGGGUUGGGGAAAAGAAGCCCUCUGCACACCAGAAUUACCCAGAGACAUGGAACACUUAGCACUGCAUCAUAUGUUGGCCUUACAGAGGUCCUCCGUAUUCCAAUGUGAGGAAGGAAGUGGUGGUACAUUUGCAGAAGGCACUAAAUUAAGCGACUCUAAUGAACCAGAUAGAAGGGACCACUGCAACAGGAUUUAGUUUCCUCCUCGAACCAUGAAAGAGACCAGGAGAGAAUAGGCCUUCCUCUUUGGCAGCCAACAUGGAAACAGGAUGAACAAGACCAGGAGGAGGUUUUCCUCUGUUUCACAGGAGCACGGACUAUUCUCUCAUGUUGAAUGUGGCACUUUUUACAUACAAGCAGGAGAGCAACUACACCAAGAUUUUGGAAAACAUGUUAUGUAAGUUUUUAUUUUUAAAAUCAGGAGAGAAUUUCUGCAACAUCCUAUGACCACAGAUCCCUACCCAUCUGCAUUGGGGCACUUACAGAUCACCUUCUCUUCUGAACUUUGUAUGAAGUGACCAUGUCCCUCCUAUCCCUUUCCAUGUGCACAAGAUCAUGUCAUCUCUAGCUUAUUCAAAGACAUUGCCUUAGCAAUCUGCCCUUGCCUUCUGUUUCAUCAGUUUCUAAGCAACAACUAGAAAGGCCAAAGCCUUACAGGACCAGUCUGGCCAAGGCAUAGCUACAGCAUCUUUCUCAUCUGUCUAGCAGACAGUUUCUAUUAGAUCAUUCCCACAAGUACAUACAAGCAGACUUACAUUUCUCACCUCACACUUUAUAAAAAACAAACAACUCCCCAGGCACCCACUUCUCCUCUCCAGGUACAGCCCCUUUGUUAUCCUUUCCUCUACAACUAAACUUCUUAAGAGAAAUUUCUAUACUAGCUGUUUCCUAGUUCUUCCUCAUUUUCUCUUGUGACUUCACUCCAGUCAAUCCAAGAUAACCAUUGACCUUUCUGGUGUCAAAUCUAACAUUUAUUUUUCAGGCCAUAUCUUAUUUCAUCUUUCCACAACAUCUGAUACAGUUGAUUCCUCUACUUCACCUUCUUCACUUUGCUUGAAGGACACCACAGAAAUAGAACAUGGCCAGACUCAGAAGUGCCCCUGGGACCCUCUUCCAAUUACCAUCAUUUUCCUUCUCUCCAAGUGAGCCACUUUCUAGCUUUUUAUCAUCAUUACUUUCUUUCUCUUAUAGCUUUUCCAUUUCACCAUGGAUUCCUAAAAAUUAUACUUGAUUUUUGUCUGUUUUUUUUUGAGCUUUCUCUAAGGGAUUAUGCAAAAGACAUUAUUUUUGUGUCAGGCUUCUUUUAUUCCACAUCAUAUUUAUGAGCUAUAUCUGCAUUGAGAAGAACUAUAGGAGUAAUUUUCUUCACUUUAUACUAGUUCAUCAGAGGAAAAUAUCACAAUAUAUUUAUUCUACAGUUGAUAGACACGUGAAUUUGUCUGGGAUCCAGUUCCUGGACCAUUUCAGACUCGUGUUCUAGCCUGGCUUCCUAGCUGAGGUGUCUUAGGAAUGGUGGUACUGUUCCUAGCUGCUGCUACAGAUGGGAAGCCUUCUGUGCUAUGCUGCCUGGUGAGAAAGAUGCUGUAGCUAUGCCCCAGCCAGAUUGGUCCUGUAAGGCUUUGGCCUUUCCAGUUGUUGCUUGGAGAAAUUGCUGACUCACCUUGGAAAAAGGAGGAGUUAACAGCUCAUGGUGGAUUUUGACCAAUGGAAGAUGGAGAAGAGGAAGAAGCUGAGGAUAAAUUAUUUUCUUUUCCAAUCACCAAUAAACAGAUACAUGUGAAAUGAGGUACUUAGAUGGCCUCUUAGAAAACAUCCUGGGAGAUCAAGGCAUCAGUUGCAAUUGCUGUCAAAUAAAGGCCAGUUCUGUUCCACUUCCCCUGUGUUUUCUCCUCUUCUUUCCAUACCUAAUUUGGGAUUCCUUUUCGACUCACUCCUGUGUCUCUGGAGUCAUACUCCUCAAUAAAAUGGGAGCACGUACACUUUUGACUAAGGCUCUGUUUUCUAGAAAGCCCAGAAAAUCCCUCCCAGGACCAGCUACAUAGUUGGUUGGACCAAGUGCAAUAAAAAUACAGGGGCUUUUGCUCAACAAUUAUUAAGAAUGUUAAGAUUAUGGCAGUAGAACAUUAAGCCAAGUGGAGCCCUUCUAAGCCCUGGGUCCUAUGUGACCUCACAGGUCAUGUGUCCAUGAAGCUGACCUUCAUUCCUCCCAUUCAGCUCCCCACAACCCCCAGUCCUCCAAUUCUCCAUACCCCUUCCUCAAGUCCUCCACUAUUACUUGUUCAUGUGUGCUGCUAGAAAAUACCUAUCAUUUAUCUAUCCAUCUUUCUAUCAUCUCUAUAUGUGGAUAGGUGCUUUUUUUUUUUUUUUUUUUUUUUUUUUUUUGCCAAACACUAGUUUUCAAAGAUGAAGUGCUAUUUUUAAAGGG
rnacentral:lncRNA from 1 species